rnacentral:rRNA from 1 species
UAGUGGCGAACGGGUGAGUAACACGUGAGUAACCUGCCCUUGACUCUGGGAUAACCUCCGGAAACGGAAGCUAAUACCGGAUAUGACGCACGGAGGCAUCUCCUGUGCGUGGAAAGAAUUUCGGUCAAGGAUGGACUCGCGGCCUAUCAGGUAGUUGGUGAGGUAACGGCUCACCAAGCCUACGACGGGUAGCCGGCCUGAGAGGGUGACCGGCCACACUGGGACUGAGACACGGCCCAGACUCCUACGGGAGGCAGCAGUGGGGAAUAUUGCACAAUGGGCGCAAGCCUGAUGCAGCAACGCCGCGUGAGGGAUGACGGCCUUCGGGUUGUAAACCUCUUUUAGUAGGGAAGAAGCGAAAGUGACGGUACCUGCAGAAAAAGCACCGGCUAACUACGUGCCAGCAGCCGCGGUAAUACGUAGGGUGCGAGCGUUGUCCGGAAUUAUUGGGCGUAAAGAGCUCGUAGGCGGUCUGUCGCGUCUGCUGUGAAAACCCGAGGCUCAACCUCGGGCCUGCAGUGGGUACGGGCAGACUAGAGUGCGGUAGGGGAGAAUGGAAUUCCUGGUGUAGCGGUGGAAUGCGCAGAUAUCAGGAGGAACACCGAUGGCGAAGGCAGUUCUCUGGGCCGUAACUGACGCUGAGGAGCGAAAGCGUGGGGAGCGAACAGGAUUAGAUACCCUGGUAGUCCACGCCGUAAACGUUGGGCGCUAGAUGUGGGGACCAUUCCACGGUUUCCGUGUCGCAGCUAACGCAUUAAGCGCCCCGCCUGGGGAGUACGGCCGCAAGGCUAAAACUCAAAGGAAAUUGACGGGGGCCCGCACAAGCGGCGGAGCAUGCGGAUUAAUUCGAUGCAACGCGAAGAUCCUUACCAAGGCUUGGACAUAUACGAGAACGGGCCAGAAAUGGGUCACUCUUUGGACACUCGUAAACAGUGUGCAUGGCUGGUCGUCAGCUCGUGUCGUGAGAUGUGGUCAGUUCCCGCAACCGAGCGCAGCCCUC